AUUAUGAAAUGAGGCUGAGGUUGGAGAUAUGUAGAUAAACAUCCACAAUGCCCUGACAACAUUGGCACCAAAUAUCAUCACGGCGGCUCUGCUGGGGAGCCACAAGGGACAAUUCACCACCUUGAUGACUGAGGCCAAAGCAGACGAUCAUCUGAAGAGUGCUGCGGUCCUCAUCGUACCAGAGCAGAGGUUUUGCUGCUUGGAUGAGGAGCCAUCCAGCCCAUCUCCAGUAAUGGUGUCACACAACGCUGUGAGUCCCCUGCUGUGUACUACCCAACGCAUCCAUCGCGACUGGGGAGAU